rnacentral:rRNA from 1 species
UGAACGCUGGCGGCGUGCUUAACACAUGCAAGUUGAGCGGUAAGGCCCCUUCGGGGGUACACGAGCAGCGAACGGGUGAGUAACGCGUGGGUAAUCUACCUAGAGGUGGGGGAUAGCCUCGGGAAACCGGGGGUAAUACCGCAUGAGUCCUUUCCAACACAAGUUGGAUUGGGGAAAGUCGGGGAUCUUCGGACCUGUCGCCUCUGGAUGAGCCCGCGUCCGAUUAGCUUGUUGGUGAGGUAAUGGCUCACCAAGGCAUCGAUCGGUAGCCGGCCUGAGAGGGUGAACGGCCACAUUGGGACUGAGACACGGCCCAGACUCCUACGGGAGGCAGCAGUGGGGAAUUUUGGGCAAUGGGCGAAAGCCUGACCCAGCGACGCCGCGUGGAGGAUGAAGGCCUUCGGGUUGUAAACUCCUGUCAGGUGGGAAGAAGAGCCCUGUGGAUAAUACCCACAGGGAAUUGACGGUACCACCAAAGGAAGCCCCGGCUAACUCC